GCCAGGCGUGAUGGUGCACCCCUGUAAUCCCAGCAGUUUGGGAGGCUGAGGCAGGAGGAUCAUGAGAUCAAAGCCAGCCUCAGCAAAAGUGAGGCACUAAGCAACUCAGUGAGACCCUGUCUCUA
rnacentral:sRNA from 1 species